AUUAUUUUUUUUUUUGAAAUCCUUGACCCCAGGGAAUGCCAAAUCCGCCACAAAUAUAGGAUAACCACUGUUCACACAGACAGAAUCUCCUCUGUAUUUGCACGUCGUCGCACAAGUACAAGAUACAACCACAAACAUAUACAAACUACAUACAUUCACCACAUCACAAUAUCAUGAUUCACAUUCAAUCAAUCAUAAGAUUAUAACGUUUCAUUCGUAAAUCCAUACCUAUUAAUUUAAAACGUUUCACAUCCGGAAACUCAUUUUGAAAGACUAGAAUCAUGAAAAGCAGAAAAUCCUUUUUAAAAUUGUUUUCCACACGGAAACCUUUUCUUUUAAAAACAGGCUAUCACGAGGGAUAGAACACCAUUUCCAUAAAUUCACAUGAAAACCAUAAAUACUUUAUUUAACAUCACAAGGCCGAUAUAUCCAAAUAAAGUAAAGUAAACUAAACCAUAAAAUAUCUAAGUCAUUUAUUCAUGUNUUUAUGAUUUGACUACGGUCGUCGUAUCUUCUUCUCUAUCCCCUGCCAUGUGCGCUGGCAAAAUUCUUCUUUUUAAAAGGUUCUAUCUUUUCCUUCCUUCCUCUUCUUUUCUUCCUUCUUUUAUUUCUCUUAUUCUUCUUCUAAAUUUGCUUGUCUAAAAGAAUUCUACAAAUUUUCUGACUUUUUCCUAUUUAUCGGCUAUUUUCUUCAAUUUUUCUCCUAAUUUUUUUAAAAAAAUACAAAAUAAAAAAUUUGUUAGAACCUUCUUGCUAGAGUAGUACUAUUUUUUGGAUUUUUUUUGUUUUUUAAUUCCUAAAAUUUAUGUCACGCCUUAGGGUCCCUUUGAAGUUUAAGAAUCAAAGCGGAAGAGUCCAAUAUAUAUAUAUUUUUUUGAAAUCCUUGACCCCAGGGAAUGUCAAACCCGCCACAACUACAGGAAACCCACUGUUCACACGGACAGAAUAUCUUCUGUAUUUGCACGGCGUCGCACAAGUACAAGAUACAAUCACAAAUAUAUACAAACUACAUACAUUCACCACAUCGCAAUAUCACGAUUCACAUUCAAUCAAUCAUAAAAUUAUAACGUUUCAUUCGUAAAUCCACACCUAUUAAUUUAAAACGUUUAACAUCCGGAAACUUAUUUUGAAAGACUAGAAUCAUG
rnacentral:lncRNA from 1 species